rnacentral:piRNA from 1 species
AAAGCCAAGAAUCGUGUAAAGCAG